AAGACUUAUCAAAUGGCAUUAAGUGAAAGCAUUUCUUAUUGCUGUUGAAUCUGUUCUCCUGCUGCUGCUUCUCCAUAACCUGUGUCGACCUGACCCUUCCAACGCCAGCACCGCGUGGAAUCUCCUGUCGACCRGGAUGAACCUUUCCAGCAGCCAGGAGGGCUGGCGAAGCAUGAGUCCAGUGCCACUGUCUACAGUACUCACAUGACAUGCCAAAUGCUGGAGGCCAAAACUUACAACUUGGAUGCRUGUGGAGCAAUCCAGUGUCUCCUUAUGCAAACUUUCAAGGGAUUCUUCUCUUGUGGGCAGCGUCAAAAGCCACAARUGUGCAAUGUGCCUUACAAAGGAGCUGAAGACCUAUGGAGAAGUCAGAAACUGGCUGGAGAGCAACAAAAGCAGGSGGGAAGGAGCCCCUGGAGCUUGAUCACCUUCUCCCAGAGUCGAUCCUCCCCAAAGAGCCACUGCACCAAUGUUAACCUGUAAAACGGCAGCCUCUGCUGCACUUCCACUCAUGUCCAGGGAUGACUUCUGCGUUUUGAAAUGAUCCAAAGUACAACUUUAUUGAGGUAUAAAAAGCAAACAAAACCUGUUGCCUGCUUUGCUGCUACUUGGCUUCUUAACUCGUGAGCGGCCCUGCUCAGCUCGUACCUCAUGUCUGUGACU
rnacentral:lncRNA from 1 species